rnacentral:rRNA from 1 species
AUGACGAUGAGCAAGCCGCACGCCGCGUGCUCCCUCUUGCUAGCCCUGCUCAUCGGCCUCACGCGCCCUUCGCCCUGCGCGUCCUCCCUGUACAACCCCCCGCCGCCGGACAUGGCGUACCACCACGGCGGCGUGCUCGACGGCACCGUGCCGGUCUCCGUGCUCUACUACGGCGCCUUCUCGCCGCACCACAAGGCCGUCCUCGCCGACUUCCUGCGCUCGCUCUCCCCGCGCUCGCGCCCCCACACCUUCGGCGCUCCGGCGGCGGCGUCGGUCGCUCAGUGGUGGGAGACCGUCGACCGGUACGUGCAGAGGACCGGCAGGGAGCGGACGCGGGUGAUGCUCACCAACCAGGUGUCCGACGAGGGGUGCUCGCUGGGGAAGCACCUGUCGCGGCUCCAGGUCGAGCAGCUGGCAGCGCGGCUCGGCGUGGCGCCUGGCGGCGUCGCCGUCGUGCUCACCGCCGCGGACGUCGCGGUCGACGGCUUCUGCGGGAGCUCCUGCGGGCUGCACGGCUCGCUGGCGCCCGGCGGCGCCGUGCACGUGUGGGUGGGCAACGCGGCCGUGCAGUGCCCGGGCCGGUGCGCGUGGCCGUUCCACGCCGCGGACCCUGCCGUGGCGGCGACGGCAGUGCCUGGGCGCCACAGGAGCAGGGAGACUCCGCUCCGUGCGCCCAACGGAGACGCCGGGGUGGACGGCAUGGUGAUCAACCUCGCGGCGCUGCUGGCCGGGGCGGUGACCAACCCGUACGGGCACGGAUACUUCCAGGGCGACGCCGGCGCGCCGGUGGAGGUCGGCGGCGGGUGCCCGGGAGUGUACGGGCGCGGCGCUUACCCUGGCUACCCCGGCGCGGUGAAGCUUGACACGGCCACCGGCGGCGGAUACAACGUGGUGGGCAGGAACGGCAGGAGGUACCUCGUGCCGGCCCUGCUCGAUCCCGCCAACGACUCGUGCCUUAUCAUGGCCUGA